rnacentral:sRNA from 1 species
GAUGACGACCUUCUUGAACAUGCCGAUCGAGAUAAAGGCGAGUCCCACGGCGAUAUCGAGGGGGUCAAAACUGAUGAACUUCCUGGAUUUUACCUGGGGAUGGAAUUCGUGCAGAUAGGUAAUUGGGCCGAUAAUCAACUGCGGAAAGAAGCUGACGAAAGCGCCAUAACGGCAAAACGCCCAAAAACCGGACCUCAACGAACGAGUCCCUUCGAAAAAUUCGACCACGCUCUUUUCGCGAACAUAGGCAUCCGCCAGAAAGGCCGCCUGAUGGAACGUGUAGAAUGAAAUACCAGCCGGUAUCGCCACGCCGGCAAUAUCGGUCAGGAAGUCACUAUUUUCGCCAAGGAGAACUGUAACGAUCUUGUAUUUGAAGUAGCACAGUGAGGCUAUGUUGUAUCCCUGACCGCACCCAUACAGCACUCGUCGAUAUGGAUUACUGUCGUCCGUAGCAAGGAGUGCGUUGGAGACUCCGAAAUUGACAAGCAGGGCGACCAGCAGAAGAAAUACCGAAGAUAUUCCAUAAGGGGCAUAAAAGAUAAUUGACGCCGUGAAAAUGACCAGUAGUGCUUCAUUCCUGCCUCGCGUCAAAAGCGCA